GGCGGUUCCAGAUGGCCACUCAGUUUCUAUACCUACAAUUUAGAGAAGCCGCGUGGCUCAGUGGAAAGAGCACGGGCUUGGGAGUCAGAGGUCAUGAGUUUGAAUCCCGGCUCUGCCACUUGUCAGCUGUGUGACUGUGGGCAAGUCACUUCACUUCUCUGUGCCUCAGUUCCCUCAUCUGUAAAAUGGGGAUUAACUGUGAGCCUCACGUGGGACAACCUGAUGACCCUGUAUCUACCCCAGGGCUUAGAACAGUGCUCGGCACAUAGUAAGCGCUUAACAAAUACCAACAUCAUUAUUAUUAUUAUUAUUAUCCGAAGUGAACCACCAGGCCGAGUAGGCCACACUUCCUGAAAUGGCCUAUGGUGAUGAACUCUUGGGUUUGGUCCUGACAGUUAGUUCCUCCUAACGUUGUUCCUCGUUUAAGGGCCGUUGGAAGAGGCCUACCCCUGUGGCGUGAAUGAGCGCAAGGCAACGGGCAAAGCGUCUUGAGAAUGAGAAGAAAGGGAGGCAGGCCCUCGGCUCCACCCUCCAACCCCAGCAGCUCUGAGCCUGACUUUAAUAAUCCCUAAACGGAAAUGCUAAGGGUCUGAGGUCAACUGAGCAAACACAGAAUAUGUGGGUUCAAGUGGAGGUGAAUCCCGCCGUCUUUCACCUCCUCCUCAACCUGCUUUCGACGUCAUCACGUGUGCGAUGACGUCGCGGGCCCAAGGAGGUUGUCGCCGCCCGCCCCUGCGGUGGAUCGGCGGGGGCGGCUGGCAGCACGUGGGGGCGGGGGGGGGGGGGAGGAGGGGGACGCGGGCGCCAUCUUGGCUAAGGGCGAACGCUGAGGGCGGGCGGCCUCCUCGCCUUCCGUGCGCACGCGCGCCGCCGAAGUCUCCGCCCUCCGUGCACGCGCGCGGAGUCAAGUCUCGCGAGAGGAGCGAGAUUUAUUCCUACGUACCGGGCCGUGCUGCUUAUGGCGGCGCUGGAGAGGGGGCGCUGAGCUGUUGGGUAUGAAGUGUAACAGAACAGAAUUUACCACCUGAAACUGCUGCUUCAAGUUCAGAUCAGGCAAAGAAAACACCACAUUGUAACAACAACAACAACAACAAGACCAAAGAAGAGUAAACUUAAGCUGAAGACACAACACUUGAUCUGAAACAAGAAGUUUGUGCCUACUCAACAGCUUCAAAAGAGCACUUCCCAACGCUGCUAGUAGUCUUUGUUUUCUUCAGUGCUGCACUGUAAGAUUGGCUGGUGCAGCAAUUGUAUUCUUUAUUAGCUUGAUAGAUCAUUUUCUCUCGCUCUCUUUCUUUUCUUUUC
rnacentral:lncRNA from 1 species